UACGUAGGGUGCAAGCGUUGCCCGGAUUUAUUGGGCGUAAAGGGCGCGUAGGCGGCUCGGCACGUCCGUUGUGAAAUCGCCCGGCUCAACUGGGCGGGGUCAGCGGAUACGGCCGAGCUUGAGCAAGCUAGGGGGCAAUGGAAUUCCCGGUGUAGUGGUGGAAUGCGUAGAUAUCGGGAGGAACACCGGUGGCGAAGGCGGGUCUCUGGGCCGAUACUGACGCUGAGGAGCGAAAGCGUGGGGAGCAAACAGGGAUUGAGA
rnacentral:rRNA from 1 species